GUGGGAGGGGGCUUGCCCCCGAUAGCAGUGGAUCAGUCAGCUUAUGUGUAGCUGACCCACCGCAAUCGGGGGCAAGCCCCCUCCCAC
rnacentral:misc_RNA from 1 species